CACGUAGUUAGCCGGUGCUUCUUAUCUACCUACCGUCACCACGAGUGGCUUCGUCGAUAGCGAAAGGAGUUUACAACCCGAAGGCCGUCAUCCCCCACGCGGCGUCGCUGCAUCAGGCUUGCGCCCAUUGUGCAAUAUUCCCCACUGCUGCCUCCCGUAGGAGUCUGGGCCGUAUCUCAGUCCCAAUGUGUCCGUACACCCUCUCAGGCCGGAUACCCGUCGCCGCCUUGGUAGGCCAUUACCCCACAACAAGCUGAUAGGCCGCAGGCUCAUCCCACACCGCAAAAGCUUUCCACCACAACAUCCAAGAAGUGGUCCUAUAUGGUAUUAGACCCAGUUUCCCAAGCUUAUCCCAUAGUGCAGGGCAGAUCACCCACGUGUUACUCACCCGUUCGCCACUCGAGUACCUGUACAAGUACAGGCCUUUCCGUUCGACUUGCAUGUGUUAAGCACGCCGCCAGCGUCAUCCUCGACGCCACGGACGUACAAACCGUAAC
rnacentral:rRNA from 1 species